UAAGUUAGCUUGUUUGGGUGAGGCUGCACGGCAACAGACUCAGCUUUGCUCCUGAGUUCUGUGAAAAACAGGAUUGUAACAACCACAUACCUGCCAAGUCCUGCACAGAUAACAGAUGUUAGGGACACUCCUUUACUCAAAGUGGAGCCAAGAUCCAAGAUCUGUUGAAAGUCAGUAGACGUAUCUCAAACAGCAAGCAUUUGGAACUGAGGAUUUGAUGGAAAACUUUGAGUGAGGAGUUCAUGAACAACUUACAGGCAACAGCUGAAGUUCCAAAUAAGAGCAUAAUUUGCAACUACCAGAGAAGCACAGCAUGGGCGUGAGUCAACAGCAGGUG